AAAAACCAAGUAUGAACAUGUUUAGUGGUUUUUCUUGAGUUUUAACUAACAAAAUAGGCUGUUUUUAGCGUUUUUAUAGGGGUUCCAAACAUUCGCGGGUUCUAACUAUUCAUGGGAGGGUCUGGUACGCAACCCUUGCGAAUAGGGGGGGACCACUGUACUCUGUAUUUAUAAUGUUCAUGCUUACAGUGAGUGCUUGUAAGCACACCCUCUAGUCAGUCAGGACCGUGGGCAUAACAGCCAUCGCUUCCCGUCCGAUUAACGAAGUUAGCAAUGACUGGGUGAGGGUUGGCUUGGAUAGGUGAUCCCAUGGAGUAACGGAUUCUGUUGAUGUCUAGGAGACGUCUUUCAUAUCCAUGGUCAGAAACAUCAGGACUCGUUGGUACUUAGAAAGUGACUACCUAGAAAUUUCAGAUGCUGUUGGCAUCUAGGAAACAUCUUUCAUCACAUCCAUGAUUCAAGUCUUGGGCUUACAACUUCCUGUCGUUUUGCCUGAUUCCUUGGGAGAUCAACAGUGCAAGUACCAUCUGACUUAAGACCUUAGGAAGUGGCCGAAUAUUGGAAUGUUGGCUAGAUUGGAAGGAUUGACUAACAGUUCGUCAGUAGUUAUGAUGAAGUAAAGAAAGAAAAAAGGAUGAAAUAUUAUAUUUCCCACGUAAAAUCUAACUAUGGCGUUAGGUUCUUGCAAGUAUGAUGGAAAUCACAGCGUCAUUACUGGGAGACAUAUCCGCUCCCGUAUCGUCACAUUUUCUCACUUGCAGAGCCAUCAUUUGGUCCUUGCUAAUUUUUAUGCUUUGUGUGUUUUUACUCUGAUGAUGUUUUUACCAUAGACAAUUUAGGUUAUUAAAUUAUAUCGAUUAAGGUAGAAUGAAAGAUUUUGUUUUGCAUUUUUAUUUCCUAAAAGUUACAAGUAAGACGCAUAAAAGGAAAAAGCUUUUCAUUCAUAUACCAUUCUUUGAAACAGCUAUAGACCAAUGAAUGGUUUAAUUUCAUUUUCAUCAUACCAUUUUGGUGUAUGUGAUAUUGUAGGCAAACUUUCCAUACACUACUACUCUUCUAAAAACUGGUUGGCAAAUCUUUUUGUUACUGUUAUAAUGUGCUCCAUGACUUUGUCAUAAAAAAAACUUUAAAAUUAACAUAUAAUAAAUCUCUAAAAUUAA